UCUCAAAGAUUAAGCCAUGCAUGUCUAAGUACAUGCCGAAACAAGGCGAAACCGCGAAUGGCUCAUUAAAUCAGUUAUGGUUCCUUAGAUCGUUUCUUCCUACUUGGAUAACUGUGGCAAUUCUAGAGCUAAUACAUGCAGUGAGCCCGAAGCCCCUCGGGGCGACGGGUGCUUUUAUUAGACCAAGAUCAAUCGGGCUUCGGUCCGUUUUGUGUGGUGACUCUGGAUAACUUUGUGCUGAUCGCACGGCCACGAGCCGGCGACGUUUCUUUCAAGUGUCUGCCUUAUCAACUGUCGAUGGUAGGUUAUGCGCCUACCAUGGUUGUUACGGGUAACGGAGAAUCAGGGUUCGAUUCCGGAGAGGGAGCCUGAGAAACGGCUACCACAUCCAAGGAAGGCAGCAGGCGCGCAAAUUACCCACUCCCGGCACGGGGAGGUAGUGACGAAAAAUAACAAUACGGGACUCUUUUGAGGCCCCGUAAUUGAAAUGAGUACACUCUAAAUCCUUUAACGAGGAUCCAUUGGAGGGCAAGUCUGGUGCCAGCAGCCGCGGUAAUUCCAGCUCCAAUAGCGUAUACUAAAGUUGCUGCGGUUAAAAAGCUCGUAGUUGGAUCUCAGUUGCAGGCGGGAAGUGCGUGGACACCACGUUACGUCCCGUGCUGGACAUCAUGCCUGUCCUGGCUUGGUUCCCUUCAUCAGGUGCCUUGCUAUGGCCGGCGCGUUUACUUUGAAAAAAUUAGAGUGCUCAACGCAGGCGAUUCGCCUGAAUAACAGUGCAUGGAAUAAUAGAACAAGAUCCUGUUUCUGUUCUGUUGGUUUUUGGAAUACAGGAUAAUGAUUAAGAGGGACAGACGGGGGCAUUCGUAUUGCGGCGCUAGAGGUGAAAUUCUUGGACCGUCGCAAGACGAACUACUGCGAAAGCAUUUGCCAAGAAUGUUUUCUUUGAUCAAGAACGAAAGUUAGAGGUUCGAAGGCGAUCAGAUACCGCCCUAGUUCUAACCAUAAACGAUGCCAACCAGCGAUCCGCCUGAGUUACUCAAAUGACUCGGCGGGCAGCUUCCGGGAAACCAAAGUAUUUGGGU
rnacentral:rRNA from 1 species